CUCAUGUAUAAAAUGGGUAUGUUGUUAACAAACUUGAAAGAUUAUACCAAGGAUUAAAUGAAAAAAAAAUUAUGCUGGCUGGAAAGAGUCUUUUCUGACAGUUCUCUUACCUUGUCAGCCUGUUCUCAAACAGUCCCAUGUCCAUAGGGCUCAAGUUAGAAAUGUGGAUGUGAUGGAAGGCACCUAAAUAUUCAUUCUGUGAUUGUCAAUGCCAGAAAUAGGUUUUCAUUUUGCCUCUUCAUCAGCAUGCUUUGUUACAUCUGGCUUUUUAUUUGGAACAAAGAAUAUGAUACUUCUUAUGGCAACAGAUAAGCCUGCAUUUCUGGAAAUUAACCUUUACUUCUUAGGGAAUUAGUUUCCACUGAUACUGUAAACCCAACGCAAAACAAAUGAUCGUAGGAAUACUUUAAAGGUAAAAGAAAAGAUGUUGGAUUACAUAGAGACCAAAAUGGAGAACCAAAGAAAAUAUUCCAUGUCUCUUCUUGUCGAAGGGUAGAGACAUAUAACUGAAGAAUGUUGGCCUUAGGAGAGGGUAAAUGACAAGGCUGAUAAACUGUUCAAGACCCAGACAGUCAUCUCUUAUCACUGUCAUUUGAUUUGGUUUGGCUCUGGAAAUGUAUGCUUUUCUUAAACAAAGCAGAUUGGAUCUAUUCUAAAGUAUUAUCUCUGGCUGUGAUCUGCCCUUCUCUUUAAGCUGUGACUACAAAGGAAAGUUUGUAGGUGAUGGUUUCCUGUGACUUAAGUUUGAUGGAACAAUGUUUUUUUUUUUUUUUUUUCUUUUUGCUGUAUGUAAUUUGUAUUAGCUAUCUGUUUUUAAAGUGUUUUUUAAUCUAACAUCAUGAAAACAGUACUUUGGGUUCAACUUUUCAUGUGAGUGCUUUUCAAAAGGCAAUUUUAACACUUUGGACAUGUUUUUGCUUUUGAAAAGUGUAUAUUAUAUGUGGAACUUAUUGGCCAUAAAUAUUAAAGAUAUUCAAUAAAAUGACAUUGAAAUUUUGAUUACUUCUUGAUUUUUCAGGAAAGAUAUGUUGUUUGUAGACUUAUUAUUAUUAUCUUCUGGGGAGACAGAAAGUAUUCAUUUGACAGUGAAGGCAAGGAUUGGAUAACAGACAGAGGGUUAAGCUGAUGCACUUGACUCUUUUUUUUUUUAAACAAAAUUAUAUAUUUGAGAAGCAGUGAAACAGAUGAGAGUGAGCUCCAAUCUACUGGUUCACUUCCCAAAUGCACAGGAUGGCCAGGGCUAGGAGGGAACUGAGUCCAAGACUCCCACAUGGAUGACAGGAAUCCAGUUACCUGAGCUAUCACUUGUGCCUCCCAGGAUCUGCAUUAGCAAAAAGCUGGAGUCAGGAGCCAGAGGCGAGUAUCAAACCCAGGCACACCAAUAUUGAUGUGAGUGUCUUGACUGGCAUCUUAAUUGCUAGGCCAAAUGCCUACCCUGAGUCUUCAUUUUGAAUUUACCUUUUUAGUUCAUUUGAGAGAAAGUCAGUGUGAAGUAGUGGGACAUAUACAUUAUAGAAUAUUACAGGGCAAGAUGUGAUUUAAUUAAUUAGAAAACAUUUAUUAAACUUAAUGAAAAGAAUGACUGUUAUUAGAGCUAUCUGUAGCAUUCAUUCAUAUCAUCAGUCCACAACAGGAAGCAAAUGUUAGAAUGUUAAUUUUUUAAAGUAAUUUUAUGUAUUAUCUUAUUCUGUGUUUUUACUUUUAGGACCGGAGUAGGCCCUAUGACACUUUUAACUUGCACUCGUUGGAGAACUCCUUAAUGGAUAUGAUAAGGACUGAUCAUGAGCCUCUGAAAGGUAAACACUACCCUCCCAGUGGCCCACCAAUGAGUUUCGCUGAUAUAAUGUGGAGGAAUCAUUUUGCAGGACGUAUGGGAAUAAAUUUCCAUCAUCCAGGAACAGAUAAUAUUAUGGCACUUAACAGUAAGUCUUCAUGUGACAUAGUCUAUAAAUUUAGCAAUCAAGUUUGCAGUAUGUGGUUUCUACUUUCUUCAUUGUUCAUUACAUUUCAGCCUUCCAUAAACUCGGUAUAGAACAUUAUUCUAUACCUGUGGUUCUCAAAAUGUUGUCCCUGGACCAACAGCAUCCAUAUCACUUGAGAACUUAAUAAAAAUGUAAACUCUCAGGCCCUACUGCAGACCUACUGAAUCAGAAACUUUAAGGAUGAGGUCCAGAGAUCUACUAAUAAACCUUAUUGGUGAUUCUAUUGCAAGCCAAAGUUUGAUAAUUUCUGUUCUGUAUCAGAAAUCUGGCCCAGUGCCUGUUUUUAUAAAUAAAGUUUUAUUGGAAUAUAGCCAUAGACAUUUUUUCUGAGUUGCCUAUGGCUCUUUUUGAGUCAUAAAAGCAGAGCCUGCCAAAGGUAAUUUCUUGAUUGUUUGGCCUGUUGUAGAAAGUGUUUUCCAGUCCUUGCUGUGUACCACUGGGGUGGGGAGAUGAAGAAAUGAGGCAAAGUGAGAGAGGGAAUGAGGUAGAGAAUGUGAAUGAAUAAAUCAAUCUAUUUUGCACAUAACUCAGAAUUUUCUCAUUGUGGUUAAUAGCUGACAGAUGUUUUAAGCUGGACAUUCUGGGAUCUCCCAUUUUGCAUGGUAGUAGGUGUCAAGAGCUUUGCAGAUUAGAAAUAGUUUUGUUAGAAUAAUUGUUGAAUCAAGUUCUGGAUCAUCAAAAAUUACUAACCAUAAGUCAUUGUAUUAAUUACCACUGGAAAAAAUACUUAGCUUGUAUCAGCCCUACUUUCUAGUAUACAGUGACCCAAUAGCUUUGCAGAGCAGUCUAUAAAUCGAAAUUGCCUGUUGUCAGACUGACCUAUAAAAGUCAUUGAAUCACACGGGAUUUAAAAUUUUUUCUUUAUCGAAUGAGAUAUUAGUAAUCUCAUGCUCCUAGAUACACAAGCUGACUCUGGAUUACACAUGGAGAUAUACAGUGUGGGUCUAGAUUGUGCAUGAUACUAUCCCUUUCCCUCUUGCUUAAGUAAGAGUGUUGAAAUAUCAUUGGAAUUCCUCAGGACAGUUAUUAGAUUGUCUCUAAAAUAUUUAUUCCAAAUUUCCUUGGUUCUGAAAUGUAGCCUAUUGUGCAUUUUUUUUUUGUGGAGAGCUAGUAUUCCCUUCUUUUGAGGGUCUUGGAGGGAAAAUUCCAAAGUAUCCACCUCUCAUUUUCUUAUUUCUAAAAGAAAGAUCACUUUACAUUUAGAUUAUGCUACUUGGUAUUUUUUUCUGUAAAGUGAGAAUUAAUAAACAUGCUUAACUUGCUGGGCUUCAGCAUUGAUUCAUUAUGAUAAGACUCCAAUUAGAUGAUGGGGUUUAGAAUUGAAGGUAAAAGAAUAGAACAGUAAAGUAGUAUGUUUGUCUGAAAGAAUGAGAGUAUAUCUGAGAAAAUACCUAAUCUGACAUGAUGAGAGCUCUGCUCUGUAAGAGGGAGAGGAUAUAAUUUAUGGAUUUUUGUGUAAAAAUGAAGCAAAAGAGUAUCUCUCUGUUUAAAAGGUGUUGAUUCUUUGAUUUGCUUUUAAUUCUCUGCUUUUGAAGAAGAGAUUUCAUUCAUGUUCUUUCCACUUAGUGCAUACUGCUUAAUUUCUCCUUUUUAAAGUCUCAAUUCCUUCAUCUGUGAGAAGAGGACUGAUUAGGUCAUCUGAGUGAUUGUGUACAGCAUGAAGGUUCCGUGAAUCUGCAGUUUCUUUAAAAGUACCAAACUAAUCAUUUCGCUGAUAUCUGUUAUCAAAUAUUGACAAGUUACACAUGGCUGCUACAUGGUGACAGACAUCAAAGUGCAUCCAAAUGGCUCUGUGGGUGCUGCCCAAAGUUAAAGAAAUCUGUUGGCUCCUCACAAUAAACCACAAAAACAACUAGAAUUUGGUAUUUGCAUUACUUAUCAUCAGACAUCUUUCAAAGUUGACUUCAACUUGAGAUAACCAGAAUAAAAUUAUCCUCCUUAGUAGGUAUUGUGGGACCUGCAGGCUUCGACACAUUGGCUGUGAUAAAGCUUUUUUCCCUUUUGUGUCGUUGAGCCCCUUCAUCUGGUGAUUUACGUAUGUAGCACAUGCACAAACACUCCUGUGUGUUGUCUUGCUUUUAUGCCUACCAUUUGCUGGCCCAACAGCUAUUGUCCUGUGACUUUGUUCUUCAGUCCAUCAACCUUCAUAUGGGAGUAAUUAAGAUGAAAUCACAAAUUGCUGAAAUUUAUUAAUUCAGAAUUCGAAAUUAUUGGAAAGCAUAUGUUGAAGUUGAACUAUAUUUUCAGGAAAGAAUGGCUGGCUAAGAAAACUAAAGUAAACUAAGGUAGUGCUUAAAUUUUUGUAAAAAGGAAAUGUGAAUCAAUUAUUGCCCCUUCUUAGCUUUUUUUUGCUUUGCCAAAAUCUUCCUAACUUUUUCUACAUAAAGCUGCUAUUCACUUAAAAAACGAACAACAAAAAAACCCUUUCAUCCUUUUUUUUACUUCCGUGAUCUCACCAAAACCUGAAUUCUUUUGAAGAAAGCAUGUGUUCAGCUGGCCUGACUGGGUAGGAAGGGUAGAAGCAUCAUGAUGAGUGAUCACACCUCUCAGGGUUAUGUCACACCUUUGAAUGGACCAGUUUAUCAAUUUGUCUUUUUUUUUUUUUUUUUAAUAUUCUGGCGCAUGCCUUCCAGUUACACUUUCUCUGAGAUGCACCAUUGCUGAUGUCAUCUAGGUGACAGGAUGUGGAACAUGGGUGAGGAGGACAGUAUACCAGCUAUGGAAAACAGAUGGAGUUGCUAGUAAACCUGAUAGGUUUAGAGUGCUGGGAAAGCUGGCCAGGUUUAUGUAAAGCCAAGGAGUCUGCUGAUUGUUCCUGUAUGAGGCCAUGGAUCUAAUAAAAAUCAGCUGACUUUUGGGGAUAGUCUAAAGGUCUCAAUUUUAGCCUUUUCCCUAAAUAUGAGGCCCAUUAAGUAUUGUAGAAUAUAGAAGGGGAGAAGUAGGGAACAAACUGUAAUCCAUCCAUGAAACCUACUGCUUGCCUAGUAUUUCCAGAAUAAAGUUAUUUCACUUAAACAGAUAAAAUUUUUCCUAAGUUUUUAGUAAUUCUACCCAUUAUCAUUUCAUCUUCUUUACCCUGACCCCCAAAACACUUGACUUUUGCAUAAUAUAGUUUUAUUUUUCCUGCUGGAGAAGUAAGGAGGUUGCCGACAGUGCUUCUAGCUACAUGUAUGGUGAUAUCAACCAGAUUUUUCAGACAUGAACUUGGGUUUUUGUUUUUGUUUUGUUUCUUAUACUCUGGUGUAUAGUUGGGUUAGCAGUCGUGGGUAGGUGUAGGACUGAUGACUGACUUGGUGAUUAUUUUUUCCCCUUUCAUGUUGGUCAUUGGGAAACAAUAUUGGUGCCUCCAUGAUUACUCAAGUGAACCUAAUUCUGAUCAAAUUAAUGUUCAAAACCAUAAUGCCUGGCUUCAGUUUACUCUAAAAGAUAGCUACCUAGUGUAUCCACUUUAUUCCUUUUUACUGAUCAGCUCCUCUUUUUCCAAGUAGAAAAUGAGCUUGGGGAAACAGAUAAGUAAUAAAAAGUUCUUUGCUAAAAAUUAGAAGCAGAGGAAGUAGUGUGGCUUAAGAGAUAGCAGUUUUCAGCUCCAGCAAGGUAUCUUCCAAGUAGGCUUUAAGGCCUGUGAAACCUGCAGGUGCAGCAUUGCAUAGCCACAAAAAGCAUUGUCUGGAGUCAAGGAUUUCUGAAUCCACCUCUUACAAGCUCUAUAAAUGUAGGGCCACAUUCUUGACUUCUCUUUGUCCCUGCAAAACAGAGAUGGUGAUCACUAAAGUGGCUCCAUAUAAAUCUUACAGACCUUAGUUAGCAUAGUGCCGGACUUGUAUGUAGUGCUCAUGUGAGCUGCUGUUGUGAUUGUUUGCAUCAAUUUUAUUGCUGCCUUUUUAAGAACCUCCUUUCUUUGCAUGUGAGAGUUCCCAAAUAUGAGUUUACCUUAUAUUGAUUCUAUUUAAAUAAAUGUCUUUGUGAUGGAA